rnacentral:rRNA from 1 species
CUAGUACCCUGCUCAUGAAUUUUAAUAGCCGCAGAAAUUUAACUGUGCUAAGGUAGCAUAAUCAUUAGUCCUUUAAUUGAGGACUCGUAUGAACGGUGAAACAUUUCAACUUCUAUUUUUUUUAAUUUUAUUAAACCUAAAUUAAGAAUAAAAAUGUUCUUAUUUAAUAAAUAGACGAUAAGACCCUAUUGAACUUUACUUAAGUUUAGCUGGGGCAGCUAAAAAAUAAUAAUCUUUCUACUCCGUUUCAAAAUAAAUUAACCAAUAAAAUUGACUCAAACAAGUUACCAUAGGGAUAACAGCGUAAUAUCUUUUUAAAGCUCUUAUUAAAAAAGAAGAUUGCGACCUCGAUGUUGAAUUAGUGUUACUUUAAUAAUGCAACAAUUUUAAAAGUAGGUCUGUUCGACCUAUAAAACUCUACAUGAUCUGAGUUCAAAACCGGAGA